CACCCGGAACUUAGGGUCCGCGGCGCCCCGCCCACUUGGCCGCCACGCCCACCCCCGUGGGGCGCGGGCCCGUACCCCUCAACUCUCGCGAGACGUGGUUUCCUGGGGCCCACGGGAGGUUUAAUCCCCGGCGUCCGUGCUCAGGCGCCUCUCAGGCCCUACGCGGGGUUUCUUGUUUAAUACUGAGCUGAAAAGUAGUGUGAAAUUACGCAGCCGUGGGUUGCACGACCCUAGGAACUUUUAAGUUUGACUUUCACUUAGGACUUUUCACAUAUUAAAAGUUGAAGUUGGUCCAGCUUGAGUCAGACUCAGAAUCUGACCCCAGACCCAGUCCGGUUUCUAAGUCAGACCCAGCCUGACUCCAGCCAGUUUCGGGACCCAGUCCGGACAAAAGAAAUGCUCAAAUGAAGUCUGAAAGCUCAGGAUCCGAUCCGAGGGGGACUUGCUCACGACCUCCAGAGCCAGUGAGACAGCCUGAGCUCGGGGGCUCAGAAGGCGAAGUUUAUGGUUCAAAACCAAAGAGACUACCCUAAGGAAAAGACUUGUAAUCGUAUUGAAAAUAUACAUGAUUUUUAAGAAGAAUGACAAUAUUUGUUCGCCUCAUCCAGCCACAUGGUAAAUCUCUCCAUUUAGCCAAACUACAAGGAGCAUUGAACGUUAUUCGGACAGCGACACUCGUCUCUUCACGUGAGGGAGGAAAGCGGAGAACUCUGAGUGAAGCCAGACAGUCUCUGCGUGGAGCGGGCUGGCGAUCUUACGGAGUUUUUGGAAUCGUGGACAGAGGACUCGGCAGUCUCUCAGAAGGUGAGGUGUGCUGAGAUGAUCUGCAGCAGUGCGGUUACACCGCGAGAUGUUCCCGAUUAAUAACCCGCAAAGUUCAGAGUGAUACUGUUUCUUUAGCAACAGGAAAAGUCUUUUGUUCAAGUAGAUUGUGCUUUUUCACAACACUCAGAACGACAAAAAGCCCUCACAUCAAUCCUGAGGAAUGAGAAAAAUGGCAUUUGCAGCAACAUGGAUGGACCUGGAGAUUGUCAUU